rnacentral:rRNA from 1 species
CUUUUUUGCGAGCGUUGUCCGGAAUCACUGGGCGUAAAGGGCGCGUAGGCGGCUGGGUAAGCCGCGCGUGAAAGCCCGGGGCUCAACCCCGGAACUGCACGCGGGACUGCCUGGCUCGAGAAUGGUAGAGGCGAGUGGAAUUCCUGGUGUAGCGGUGGAAUGCGUAGAGAUCAGGAAGAACACCGGUGGCGAAGGCGGCUCGCUGGGCCAUUUCUGACGCUGAGGCGCGAAAGCGUGGGGAGCAAACAGGAUUAGAUACCCUGGUAGUCCACGCCGUAAACGAUGGGCACUAGGCGUCGGGCGGAGCGACCCUCCCGGUGCCGUCGCUAACGCAAUAAGUGCCCCGCCUGGGGAGUACGGCCGCAAGGUUG